CUAUGAUUCUAAAUAUAGACUUUACUUUCCCGAAAAUUGCGGACGGAAUAGAAGACACCAGUUUAUUUUCUACACCAGUCCUGUCAGUAUAAAGGUUGAGAAAAGGUACUAGAAAGAUAUAGUAUUUUUUUUAUUCAGAUGAAUGUUAGAGUGCAUAAAUAUGUGUAAUGUUUUGUGGACUGAAUCGGAUGCUUUUUUCCUUCUUUUUGUCUUUGUCCCGUGACAUGUAAAUAAUGCACUGGUGUUUGAUUAAAAAAAAGUAUUUUAAGUGUAAAAAGUGUAGCAUGUUUCUCUAUUGUCAAAAAAAAAUUCAUAACAUCUAAUAAAAUUAAUAGAUUUUGCUAACAAAGUCCUUAUAUUUCAAUAAGGUAACUUUAUUUGUAGGUGGAGACUUGUUUUAAUGUUAAUUAGGCUUAAAUCAAAAAUUGUUUGCUUUCCCCUCUCUGUGAUUAAAGUAAGAUAACUCUGGUCAAUAUUCCUUACAUGCAAUCAUUGGGAAGAUGAUAUAGUUCUGUAUUCAUUUAUAGUCUUUUUCAGAAAGUUCUAAUUGUUUUGGGUACAUGUAGGUCCCAAUUACAGUUUUACACUCUAGCAUUCGGCAUCAGUUAGAAGUUUCUGCAAUAAAGUGGUGGCUAUAUAUGGUGUACUGUUUUGUGUUUGUGCGUAUGUGUGUUUGUGUUAGGCGUUAUUACACUUCUUUCGUGUAUUUUCCUUAAGGGAUCGAGUAAAGCAGAUAAGUUACAUCAGCUUUCUGCUUCAUUUGAGUCUGGCAUAAGUAUACACCAUUUCGUAAAACAAAUGCCUUUCGAGUAGAAGCGAAUGCUGUUGACAUUUUUGAUGCAGCAUUCUUGACAGCAAAAUUAAUGUUUUUCACCGGCAUAUUGUACCUCAAAUUAAAAGUAUGAAAAAAGUGUUUUUUUUUAAUAAUUCCCAGGAUAUGGCUUUAAUAGAGAGCAAUUUCAUGAAUACUUUGAAGAUGCCUUUUCUGUGACGUAGUCACUUGUUUCAGAAUAUUUCCCCCUAUAUACCUUAAUGGUAUAUUGAGGUAUGAUAGAGGAAUUUUUUAUUCUGGAACGAGUGCCUGAGAUUUGUGAUUUUGCAGUUUGUCUCAUCGCUCUAAGAAAGUUAGUGAUGAUGAAGGCAGAUUCGACCUUGCCUUUUUUUAUCUUUAUAGAUUCGACCUUGCUUAUUUUUCUUUAUAAACACGGUAUGGAUACAUACAUAUAACAAAAACAUAUUUAUAAGAUAACAAAAUAAUUCUUUAUAUUGGUAUAUAUUAAUUGUAAACAUUUCAAAGCAAAUAAAAAAAAUAUAGAUAUACAUAAAUGUCUUUGAUAAACUAAUGAAAAAUACGAGUAUCUAGUACAUUGUAGAUUUUGUAACGAUUUUAAAUUCAAUAAAAAAAACUACAUGUAUAAGAUAAAAUUAUAACCCUGUUCAAGGUACAAUCAAUAUAUUGAUUUUAUGAAAUUGAACAUAGACUCAUAGUUCAAAGGAAUAUAACUCUUGAAUACAAAUGACACAUCAAUCGAAUUAUUUAGCUGUGAAUUUGUGCGCCACCUUCAAGGCAGAUUCUAAAUUAUCAAUAUAACCACAAGUUGUUAAUCUAUAGAUACUGAUGACUUAUGAAUGAUAACCACAGUAAAGAAUAUUUGUUUGAAAUUUUUUUAACACUUACUCAGAAAAAUGCUCGAAAUAUUUAACUUUCAAAGCUCAUAAUUAACGUGUUUACACACUGAUAUAAUAUGGUUGUUAAAUAUUACAAACCUUUAAUCGUAUAUUAAGACACUAUACACCUCCUGUGCUUGCAUUAAUUUAUCCAAAAAAAUGUAUAUUUCAAGCCUAAAUAUUUUGACAUGUUGUUUACAUUUCAUAAAUUCUAAUUGUGUCACAAAUUCCGUUAAGAUUUGACUAAAUACCAAUAACCUGAUAUCGUUAGGUAAAUAUGCUAUAUUGUGGAGUCAAUUCAGUUUUGGUUUUAAUCAAUUUGGUACGAAGAUCUACGAACAGAAGCAUUGUUUAAUUGUCCAUGGUUUAUUCAUUUAUUUGGGUAAAAUUUUAUUGUCAGUGGGAGCUAUCAUUUGAGAAGGAAGGCUUGGAUGACAUUUGAAAAAAGGCAAGACAGGUUUUUGAGCAAACAAAGGCAGGAUCAGUAAUUUGGCAUAAUACGCAGAUUACAACUUAUUUGAACAAUUUCAGGAUGAACUAAUGAAAAUUACAGGUCCCUAAAGAAUGAAAAAUAAAAAUGCAGGACAAUGACGUCAGAUAAGGGAGAGUUAGGAAGUGCCCUGAUCCCGAAAUCCAGGACUUAAAAACACGAAAUCCCGAGUUUAGAUAAAUCUAAAUCCUGACAUCCCGAAAUUCGAAAAAAGAAUUCCCGGAUUCCGAAAUCCUGAGCUUAAAAAAAAAGAUCCCGGUCCCCUCCCCAAUGAUUACAACUAAAAAAAAAUGCAGGACAACAUUUUUAAUUCAAGCAAUCUCCCCACAAUAAAAUCAAAUGGUAUUAUCCUUAGACUUUUUACUUUUUGUACUUUAUUUCAUUUUAUGUAAGACCAAGGCAUUGUCACGUAAAUAAACAAAAACAGUUAUGGUCCUUUAACCUUUCUGUUUCCCUUCUUUUCUAAGAUCCUGGUUUUCUUUUGGUAAAUUUUUUUCACUCUGAAAUUUCCCUAUUAUGUCUCUUUGGAGAUUCAUUCAUGGAAAAUGAGUAACUUUAAAUGGAUAAAAAGAUAAAAUGAAUAACAAUAGGUGUACAGCUGCUCUUAGCAAUAAUGUAAACAUUUUAAUCAUGAUCUUUUAAAAACUUGCAUAUUGCACAUGAUUUUAAAACGUAGCAAUGAAUCAAACCAUCAGAGUAGGAGUUAUCUUUUCUUAGAUGUUCUGUAGCCCCUAAUUCUAAAUUCCAUUUAAAACCGUACAAAACCAUGAAAAAACGUUGAUGACGUCACGGUCACAUGACUAAAUUAUGUCUAUGAGCUGAUACCAAAAUACCGUCAACCAAUCGGAAGACGCGUUACAUCCAAAAUUAAAUUAUAUAUCAUUAACAUUUGCGUUAAUGGUUGUAAUGGUUUAAAAAAAGUAUAAUACUUUUAAUCCAAUCGAGACGAUACAUUUAAAAAUGUAAUCAAUAAUAGACUUUAAGAUAAAUAGAUGUGUAAAUGUAUCCAUGAGAAAGCAAAUUUUUAGUAUUCAAAUUACGAACCUUACAUAUUUACAUACAAUACAAUUCAUCAGCCAUUAAAGUACAUUCACUUCAAUAAAUAUACAAAUAUACUGUACAGAGUAUCAUUCAAGACCUUAACCAGUUAGGAAAACGCUCAAAUUGCAUAUUGACAGAUUUUAUAGCAGUGUUUGAAAUUUCAACAGUUUUCAUUAUAUAAAGAGGAAGUAUAGAGAUUGUGACCCGCUUAGAGGUGAAGAAUUAUUAUGUAUAAAAAGAAAAGAAUAUCAGCGACGAACAAAGUACAAAUAUUACCUUGAAAAGAUACACCCGAUUAAACCCG
rnacentral:lncRNA from 1 species